UUGAAACGUCGGAGUUUUAAUGGGUCGCAAGUUAUUGUGUUAAAAAUUGUACAUUUACUAUAAUUAUUUGGUGUUUGUGAUAAAGACUGACCUAAAAUUUAAUGCUUUGAAUGCAGGGAAAUGUUGCUAGCGUAUGCUUUUGAUGUAACUGUAUAUAGGAAUUGCUUCAACUUUGAGUGGAGCUUGGGUUGAUGGAAAUGUCUAUGGGAUACAGAUGAAGGCCAAUAAGUUUGAAAUCACGUCCGAUGUUUCGACAGAAUGCUGAUCGAGGACCUAUUACUGAUUCACUUGUAGUCCCAGUGAUCUUCAUUUAGUUGGUCAAGUCUGGUUUAUGGGAUGCUUGCAGUUUUGAGUUUUGUCUUGGAUUUAAUUUCAAUGCAAUAAAAACAGCAUCUACUUUU